AGAGGUAAGGUUAAUUUGGCUGUAUCAUCNGACACUCCNUUGAUUACCAAGGUUGAUUUGACUGAUAUGGAUGGCUGCCCAGGAAGUUCCUUCCUCCNUAGCCACUCCAUAUGUGUCUCUCCUGAGCUAUAUACUGGUUUGGAGAGGUUGACCUUCCUUCAUAGGGGAAGACAGUUUUUCAGUCAAGAAGGUAUGAAUAGCUGAACUCUUCAAAUAUUCCANAAAGACUNAUGAGACCUCUAGCCCACGCCUUNUCCAACUUAACCCUCCACAUUGCAGCCACUAUCUU
rnacentral:snRNA from 1 species